AUACGUAGGGUGCGAGCGUUAACCGGAAUUACUGGGCGUAAAGCGUGCGCAGGUGGUUUUGUAAGUCAGAUGUGAAAUCCCCGGGCUUAACCUGGGAACUGCGUUUGAAACUGCAAGGCUAGAGUGUGGCAGAGGGGGGUGGAAUUCCGCGUGUAGCAGUGAAAUGCGUAGAGAUGUGGAGGAACACCGAUGGCGAAGGCAGCCCCCUGGGUCAGCACUGACGCUCAGGCACGAAAGCAUGGGGAGCAAACAGGAUUAGAAACCCUUGUAGUCC
rnacentral:rRNA from 1 species